CGCUCUGAUAGUUUAUGUAAAACACUGGUCUUGUAAACCGGAGAGUACAGGUUAGUCCCUGUUCAGGGCU
rnacentral:tRNA from 1 species